UUAAAUCAUUUCCGUUAUUGCAGAAGGAAGUAUUUUUAUUAUUUUAUUUAGCAAAUAAAUUGCCAAGUUUCCUUCCUCCCACACCACGCUCCUCCUUUGCAAUUUGCAAGAAGUCUUUCCAAAUAUUCAUUUUCCACAAUCAAUUGAAAUCAACCACCAAAAAUAACUCAAAUUACACGGCUAUAUAAAUUCCCCAUACCCUAAUCUCUUUCUCACGGCACCGUUCCUCCACAGUUGAAAACUCUCUCUCAAUCAAGGAAGAGAACGGCCGGGUUUCCUCCGGCGGCGCAGAUAUCCGAAUUCUAAUCCUAAUCCCUUUUGCACCACGAGAAGAGAGAAACGGAAGCCAGAACCUCCUCCUUUGUUUAAGCCAAUUCGUCCCCAAUCUACAAAGGUGAUUUUUUGCGCGCGAAACGUGAUACCAAGGGGAAGAAUAUAGUUGAGAAUUAAGCGCUUUAAGGUGGACUCUAUUUUUAAAUAAGGACAAUGUCCUAACUAUUUUAUCGAUGGGAAUGAAAUGCGAAAUUGUUUAUCA